CCUACGGGAGGCAGCAGUGAGGAAUAUUGGUCAAUGGGCGCGAGCCUGAACCAGCCAAGUCGCGUGAGGGAUGAAGGUUCUAUGGAUCGUAAACCUCUUUUAUAAGGGAAUAAAGUGUGGGACGUGUCCUAUUUUGUAUGUACCUUAUGAGUAAGGAUCGGCUAACUCCGUUCCAGCAGCCGCGGUAAUACGGAGGAUCCGAGCGUUAUCCGGAUUUAUUGGGUUUAAAGGGUGCGUAGGCGGUCUUUUAAGUCAGGGGUGAAAGUCUGUGGCUCAACCAGAGAAUUGCCGUUGAAACUGGGGGGCUUGAGUAUGUUUGAGGCUGGUGGAAUGCGUGGUGUAGCGGUGAAAUGCUUAGAUAUCACGCAGAACCCCGGUUGCGAAGGCAGCCUGCUAAGCCAUGACUGACGCUGAUGCACGAAAGCGUGGGGAGCAAACAGGAUUAGAUACCCGUGUAGUC
rnacentral:rRNA from 1 species